GGCGCUAUAGCCAAGUGGUUACGGCGACAGAUUUGAAUUACUUCACUAUCUGUUCCUCUUUGAGGGCGUAGGUUCGAACCCUGCUGGCGUCG